rnacentral:misc_RNA from 1 species
GAUGAAGAACGUAGCGAAAUGCGAUAAGUAAUGUGAAUUGCAGAAUACAGUGAAUCAUCGAAUCUUUGAACGCACAUUGCGCCCGCCAGUAUUCUGGCGGGCAUGCCUGUUCGAGCGUCAUUUCAACCAUCAAGCCCCCGGCUUGUGUUGGGGACCUGCGGCUGCCGCAGGCCCUGAAAAGCAGUGGCGGGCUCGCUGUCACACCGAGCGUAGUAGCAUACAUCUCGCUCUGGGCGUGCUGCGGGUUCCGGCCGUUAAACCACCUUCAUAACCCAAGGUUGACCUCGGAUCAGGUAGGAAGACCCGCUGAACUUAAGCAUAUCAAUAAGCGGAGGA